CCACUGCUUUGCUGGUAAAGUGCAGCACAUGAGGGGAAAAGAACCACUUGGAAAUGAAGUGUACAUUCACACCUCACCACAUCCUCACUGCAGAGUUUAUGGCUUUCAGGCUUGGGCAGCAUGAAAGGCGAAAAUUUCUCGGGAGCAAUGAUGGAUUGCAUAGCAUGAAACAUUGCAAAUGGUGUCAGUGCUGGGGAUGGGGAUUCCACCAUCCAGCCAGAUGAAAGUAGUCCAGGCGAACGCUGGUGAGACAACACUUGGCAUCUCGCAGGAACGGUUUUUCUUGGCUGUAAUCUCCCCUCCUGGGGCAUUUUCAGUUUUCUCUCUUGUUGACCUGCAGUGAUGGAGGAAAGGGGUUGGACACAGAUGGUGCUCUGAGCAGGAGUGGGGUCUGCCGGAGUGGGAACAGCUGUAGGGCUGGGAGGGAAACAGAGAUGGGAAUGAGACAGAUACACUUCCCCUCUGGGAGGAUGGGCUCAAGCAGCCUGAGGAAAAUAAGGCUAAAAUGAAAGGGAGGAAACCAGAGAAGAGAAGAUGGAACAAGGGAGAUCACGGAGAACAACAGGAAGCAGUGCUGAGAUGUCAGACAUGAAGGCUGGGCUUGUAGGAGAAAAGCAAACAGAGAGUAAAAAAAAAAAAUAUCAGGAUUAGUGUGCAAAAGACAGAAAAUUUUUUUUAAAAGUCCUAUAAAAGUGCCAACUACCCAGCUGCAGUAAGUGAAACUCCAGUACACUUACGUCAACACCACACCACAGAUCAGCACCAGGGGAGGAGGUCUGGGGUUGUUUUUUAAUUGCUUGGAAAGGCUUUCAGUGAUGCAGAACAUGAACUCCAGCUUCCACUGAUGUCAAAGGGAUUUAAAAGUGCUUACAGUCUCUCAAAACCAAGACCCAUCUUGUCAAAGAGCAUGAGACAAGAUGCUGCAUUAAUCCCUCGAGAAGAGCCAGCUUUGCACAUUGCCUGACCUGCACCUCGACGCCGACACACCUCGAUGGCACACGUGGCAGGGACACAGCCCAGCUCUGCCCACACCAUGCCAGGCUUUUGCUUUGCUCUCCCUGAUGAGCAGCGAGGUCCUUGGUUUGCACAGCCAGGCAUGAGUAGGGGUAAGAGGCAUCCGCUUUGCUGGUUGAAGUGAAAUGUUUGGCUUAUUGGCACAGCUUGUUUAGAUUGGCUCCUAGCACUCAGUCGAUGUUAUUAGAGAAAGCAAUAAAAAUGCAUUAAAUACUAGGAACUACAUUAAAACAACAUGGAGCAUGCAACACAAACCAAGAAAAGCAAGAAGCAAGGGGCUGAGUAUGGAGUCUGCCAUUCCCUCAGUCAUGAGUACGAAUAUGGUGGAGCCAUGUCACAACGACAUUUGAAGAGGUAGAGCUGGUGAGUUCUUGCAUGCUGCAACAUGGAAGAUUUCAUCCUCUUUUCCUCUCCAAACCACAGCUUCUAGAAAGACUUUGAAAUGCUGCAGUCAGCUCCUACGCCUCCCUGCUGAGCUCCUUCCAGACUGAGCUCUUAAAUUUGCUAUGUUUUUGCCAAGACCUAAUUUUCUUUUGACCACAUAUUAAAGGGCAGAUUCCCAUGCCACAGGGAGGGACUGUGAGAUGUCAUAAUGGACACAUCUGUCACCUGUCUGGCUGGAGCUCACUGCUCUACCCCAAUUCUGCAGCUCCGUCAGACUUCUUAGUUUCUUCUUUGGCCUUGAGGUAGGACUCCAGGGGCGCUGGGAUCCUUAACUUACCUGUUUUGUUAACUGAUUUCAGCCACAGCCAGAUCCUCACUUUUCUACUGUACUAUGAACAUCACAACUGCAUGUUAUGCCUGGUUGAGCAGCAAGGUGAUUAUUAUAAAGCCUGGAUUUCCCAAGGGAAUAAAGCUUUACAUGGAGCACUGUGUGAGCCCAAUGUGUGCAAGUAGUUCUUGAUCGUGUCAGACUAUUUCAAGGAGACAGAGAGGAGGAUUUCUCAGAGCCCCGAAGGUCCCAGACAGGCGCUGCAGAUGACAGAUGGAGGACACGAACACCAUUAGUAUCCCCUGAGGAAAAGACAGCGGUGGAUGCUCCCUCUACACCAGAUAACAGAGAUGCCACAAAGGGCUGCACCCUGCACAGCUGUCCGGUAACCACCUUCCUCACCCAGCUGCCCAUCACCUCCAAGGCCUCCAGCAGUGAGCCAUCCACGUGUUGCUGCAGCAGCAUAGCAGAGAAACCGGAGAGAGGAUCAACACACAAGGCAACGGGAGCUGCAGCAGGGCAACAGCUGUCCCUCAGCGCAUCCAUUGUUCUUGUGCAGAGAAGCAGCUUUAAGAAAGUGGUGUAAAUUACAGGAACUGGAUCACUGGCUUGAACAAUGUCAGCACGUCCCUUCGAGGGCAUUCACUCCCCCCACGCCAUGAAACGACAAGUUAUUAUUUAACAGCAGACCUCACACAGAGGAAUGUUUUUCUGUAUUCAUGACCUCUAACAAGUAUGGCAAUUGUUUACUAUACUCUGAGUGAUCCAGAAGGAGCUAUAAUGUGAUAAUUAUAGAGAAACCUUCCUAAAAAUAUAUUUCUGAUGCAUCAGCAAAAACUCAGCAGGCCCCUCCAGCUGGCACUGUACAUACGACUUAAGCCCAAUUUGAGAAUCAGAUCAUGCACUACAUUUUGUGCAGCUGUGCAAAGACUCCAACCAGAAGUUCUGGAGCAGAUGUCUUGUAGCAAUGGAGGGAAGGACAUGAAGAAGAAGAGAAACAGAAGAGGCCAAAGCCACGUUUCUUGAUUGAGUGGUCAGCGACAUAGGAAAGCAUCAGUUCCAUUUUCAAGUUGGAUAAACUGAGGUUCUGGAAAUCAGAACGCCGGCAUUUUCUAAUCUGCUCACUGACUGGUUGGUGUCUGAUCUUGGAGGUCCAGCUUGACUCCAGGCUGUGCCUGCUUCCUCACAACUACUGAGCCUCUGCAUUGUUCAUGAAGUGAUACGAUUCAUUAUGAUGAUUUUUUAUAUUUGUACACCUGCUCUGUGCUCAGUGUUUCAAACCCCAGCUCGUGCUCUUUGAAGAAACACAUAGAAAGGCUUCGGGACGUUCCUGCCUUGUAGCCAAAGCCACUGAAAAGCCAACCUGCUGCUGCUGCUGCUGCCCAGAGCCCUGAGGCUGACCUGAUCCCUCUGCUGCUGCUUCCGCUGAUCAGACUAUGAAGGGAAGCCAGGACACAGGUGUUUGUUUUCUUUGCCCAGCGCAGCACUUCACAGCUGGGACUUCUGUAGCUCCUUGGCAGCAUCUACAUUCUUCUGUGCCUCAGUUUCCUCAUCUACAGAAAGGCCCAGAUGACAAACCCUGAACCUAGGGCUGUGUUAAAGUUUGGAAAACACACAGCACCUUGAAAGAGGGCUUCUGUGGAAGCACAAACAGUCAUUUAUUGCUUCAAUUAAAAAGCGUGUGUUCUACAAUCCACGGUCUGUUUAUACUUACACUUCUUAUGGAUAUCUCUCUGAAAAGCCUUGGUAGCUCAUGGAUUUGGCACAGCACACCAAAUAAUAAGCAGGCUCACCAACCCUUCUACAACACACAGUGCUUCUGUGUAACUUUGCAGGCUGUGUUUGACUUGUCUGAACUUGAACAGUCACCACUGAUUGAUUGGCUUCUAAAAAUACACGUAUGCCAUGGUUCGGAGUCCAGAGAGUUCCUGUUGAUUUAGAUGGAGACCUUGCUGGGAAGAGGCUAAGACAGACACCUGACACCAGGGUGUUCCAUCCCGGCCACUUGCUGCCUCCUGUGCAGGGUGCUCUGAAUGCGGACUCCACCGUGUUCAAAAGCCCUCCAUACCUCUGAGUGGAGAAAAAAGCAGCCCUACGGAUCCCUUCUCUUCCUGCAACUCCAUUUCCAGGCUGCCCUGCAGCUGCUGGUGAUAAGCGGAGUGAACCUGCACAUAUCCUGCCAGAGGGCUGAGCUCAGGCGCUGAGCACCUGUGGUUCCCAGCGGUUGAGGGAGUGCUCAGUGCCCUGCUGAGCUGGGAGGGCUCCCAGGGGCAGGGAUGUGACUGCUGCAAGGGAAAUGCAUUGCACUGUAACCCUGGAGAAGGCUGCAAGCACAUGAUUAUUGCAACAGAAGCCGCUAGGAGAAAAACCAGAUUCCCAUUUCCAUUGGAGAGACUGUCCUCACCUGUGAAUGCCCAUGAAAUAAAUGAGGCUAGUAAAAAGACUGUGGUUCAACUGCAUGAAAGAGCUAACAGACAGCAAUGGCACUGAAACUCCAACAUCUGCCAGAGAUGGGGACAGCACAAUUACAUUACCCUGCAGUUAAAAGGAAAAUAUUGCUUCUCUUCUCCACUGUGCAUCUCCCACGUGAAGGGCUCAAUACACUUCAGAAAUGCAAAUGGAACUGAAGCGUCCCAGCAGGACUGGCAGAACCCCCUGCUCUCUAACUACUGAGUGGUGCCUUUCUGCUCCCCUGUGAAGCCCAUGAUCUUCCAUGGAAAGCUGCCAAACCGGUGCAGGACCAGACUAGUUCAUCCCUGCAGUUCCUCUGGCAGGCACUGGUUCUGCCUGGCAGAAGAAGAGGGCUCUGAACACCCACCCAGGAUUCCUGGAUGUCCAGCAGCCAGCCUGCAAGCAGCAACUGUUGGACUUUGGAAAUACUUGAUUUACAUACAGAGGGAUCGAUCCUACAGUGUGUGUAUGUGACCCUGGGAGCCUUGAGCCUGCUCUGUGCUACAAUAAACCCAAUUGACUGCAAACACACGCUGGGUGCCUCCUGAAAACACCACACUCACCUCACCAAUAAACAGAUUUCUGCAAGUCUAACCACUUCAACCUGACUUUUAGCAAGCUGUCUUGUGCCACAGUGUAUCUGUGGGAUGCUGUUGUAAAUCUCCAAAGUUCAGCAAAAGCCCAAAAGGAAAGAUAUCGCUUCAGCUGAACGGAAAAAGGUCAGCCAGGAGCAGCACAGUAACACAACCAACCCGAUCACACGAGGUAUUCGUCAGAUCUUGUUCCUGUGUGCUGCUCCCAGCUCUCUCUCUCUGGACUCCUGUUGGGCCAUCAUGCCUCUGACGAUGCCCACAUACAGAGACAUAUGCUCUGCUUUAGUUACAAUUGACUUCUUGUCAUGUUAUGCAACUGAGCUCUACUCAGUGUUAUCUUUUGAUUGACUCCUCCGCUAUUCCCCUCCCAAUGCAUUUAUCUGAGGCCACUGACAGCCAGCAAAUACUGACUACAUCUCUGCUCUUUGGCAGCUCAUUCUGGCAGUGUUUUCAGACAGUUUGAGAAGUGGGUGUCACUUACAUUAGCUCACUCUAAAAUGCAUAUAAUCCCUCUUGCAAAUUCUAGGCCAUGGAUUUUAACAGAGUUUCCAAAGUAGGUGUGAGGACUGCUCUAGCUGUGCUAAUUUAGUUCCUAUUGAUUUAUCAUGUCUCCUUUCAUGGCAGCAAAUUGUAAAUACUUCCUAUGCUUCACUCAGUGUUUGCUCCCCACAUGACAACUCUCUAGCAUUGAAAGAACGUGUCAGUGAAAAGCACCUUGAUGUCUGUUUUCAAUAUCACAGAGAUGGAGCCAUCAUCUACUGCCAGUCCUGCUCCCGGAGAGCUGCCUCAUCCAAUCCCUCCCUGCUUAGGAGAGCUGGGCCACGUAAUGCAAAGGUUCCAUAGUAAGAGACACAAACCAAUCCUCACAAGAGCUGAAAUAGACCUGUCUUUGGGACGAGGUGCAGAACUAAAGUACUGACCCAUCGUGGCCUUUUUUAUUCCCUAUGGCAGAUGCUAAACCAGUUACAACCAUGAAUUUCUUUCUCUGAAGUCAGAAUCAGUUGUUGCUGUCUUCUUUGGUCAGCAGCAGACUGCACCCUGCAGCCAGACUCCUGCUGCACUUAGUUCUUUAUGGGUCCUACUUUAAUGUCUGAAAUCUAAUUUUAUCCUCAUUUAGAUGUGGCUAAAAACUCUAGCAGCUCUUGUUUUCUCUCUAGAUGAGCCCUUAUUUCUAUAAAUGGAACAGACAUUCUUUUGAAGUUGUUUCAGGUUUAGAGAUGCAAAAGGAAAGCCUGAUGCCCAGCCUCACCCUCUCCCACCAUCCUCCUCCAGGGCUUUGCCUCCAGGUAACACUCCUGAUUAGACAGUGGCUAGUACCUGUAUCCUUAUUUCCUGCAGAACUCUGUGGCGCCUGGAAGCAACUCUGAGACUGUGCACAAAGGAAGAAGUGCUAUCAGGAAAGCACGUGCUGCACUGUGCUCAGCAGCCAAGGUGUCCAUGCAGAAGCUGAAGGCUUUACAUCAGAACCCACACAGCUGGAAGCUGGGAGGCAGAUGGAAGAACUCGAUCUUCCUCUUCCAACAGCAGAAAACUAUAAUGCAGGUCAAACCACAUCAAGAAAUCACACCUGAAUUCCUAUUCUCAGGAGUCAUUUAGUCACCAACUUCCAAAGCUGCUUAGGGAAGCAGGGAAAACCAGGUCUGUAACUUGCUCUCGGUAGUGAGGGAAAGAAGUGGAAGUCUGUGGUGUACCAGUGUGAUUCAGGAAGACUGACACUUCAUUAGUGUGAGCAAAGGCAUCACCACCUAGUCUUUAAUAUGCAUGUUUAGCUAGGUCCUGAUCCAGUCAAGAGGUCCCUGCUGCACACGAGGAAGGCCUGUGUUCCAGUUGCUGUUAGUCCUCACUCAUGAUACUUUUUGCAAACGUAACAUGAAGCAUUCCCUUUAGGGAGGAGAAAGUUUAGAUGUACCCUAUAAAAACCAUGCGUUUUCAGUCAGAACUACAUGUUGCACUAGUGUUGUUUCUUAAUUAACAGAACAAGCAACUUAAUCUUUAUAAUUACACACCUUGGGAAAAAAGAUUGCUAUAGACGCAUUGUGCAGCGAGCUUUCUCACCACCUCCCCACCUCCACUGGGAAUUCCAACAUUUGCCUCUGAAACAGAGAUAUGUUGGGACUGGUAUUUGCCACACUCAAAUCCACAAACCUCUGGUUGUGUCAGUUCCUGAAUUACAGACCUGAUGUCUGCAAAUGAUUGGUUUUGAAAGCAAGGGCAGCCAUCCUUCCGAAGGCUGAGAAAUAAAUAUAUCAUAAAUCCGCAUAUGUGGCUUUCAUUUAUAAAGAUCUAAUUAAAUUUUGUUCUGUAAUUUCUCUAUGCAGUAUAUAUGUGCAGUAUAUAUUUUUUUUCCUUUCUUUUGGCCAUAAAUACAAGCAAUAUGUUAUAUAAUUCUCUUCCUCUGUAACGUGCCUGGUUUUUGUGCUGGUAAAGUAACAUCUUAUCCUUUUGUAGUCUGUUACAGUGAACUAUAGAAUUUUUAUUGUAUGUUACAGUCUGGUUUGGAGAUAAUCCAGCAAAGCUAUCUGCUUCCUUUUAAAAAUAAAAUAAAAUACUGUAUUUUUCAUAAAGUGUAUAAAGCCAUGCAGAAAUCCAAGCAUGGAAAAUAAACACAGUAUUGCCAAUACCAAGCAUUUACCAGGCCUGUUCUGGGCCACAAAAUCAUGAGUUUGCCUUACAAAUCUUUAGAAUUCAAAGACAAGUAAUUUCAGGUUUCCUCAACUUGCCUCUUUUUCUUUCAAAACUUCUUGGUUGUUUUCAGGCUAUUCUAUACAAUCAAAGAGUUGACAAUUUACCUUCAAUUUUAAAGAACGCUGAAACUUGCACAUAAUUACAGGAUUUGGGGAACCAGAGCUUUCAAAAACAACUGUAACAAAAUUUGUGGUAAAGCUGCCAAAGCUGGUGCUGCUGUAGGCUGAAAUCUGGUACCUGGCAUAGGGCUGACACAUCCUCAUCCCAUUAACCCUCACUACCGAGAUGCAGACUAAUAAGUGGUGCUGUGACUGACUCCAGUGUGUACAGCUGCUUCUCUAUACUGCUCUUUGGAAACUCCAAAUUCUGGCUUACUGCUUGACAGGCUUUCUGCUACCAAACCGAACUGCUCCCCCAAAUUCAGAAACAAGUUCCUUCCAGCUCUUCUGAAUGUCAUAUUGAAGUAUAUUUAUAACUCAUUAUUGGCAAAAUAAGCAAGCAGACAGACAGUGCCUCGCUUGCUCACACGUGUGUUCAUCAUGACCAAGCUGAAUGCCUGAGGUCAGUGCACACCCACCCACUGCUUUCAGAGCCCUCUGCAUACUGCCCUUACCUUGCAAGUGUCUCUGAACAGAGUCCCAAAGAGCCCUUCCAGCCCAAAUUUCCAAGGCUCAGCACGUCCUGCAAUGCAGUUACUGCUGUGCAAGGAUCAGGGCUCCAGCAUCCUCUCACAGACCCUCAUCCCUGGGGCAAGGUGUGACAACAGACCAUCAGAAUGGGAUUUACAGCGUUGGCUCUGGUUUAAAAAAA